rnacentral:rRNA from 1 species
AGGUAACCUACCCUUCGGACGGGCACAACCCCGGGAAACUGGGGCUAAUUCCCGAUAGGUACUCCCUUCUGGAAUGUGGGGAUAUCCAAAGCUCCGGCGCCGAAGGAUGGGCCUGCGGCCGAUUAGGUUGUUGGCGGGGUAACAGCCCACCAAGCCGACGAUCGGUACGGGCAGUGAGAGCUGUAGCCCGGAGAUGGGGACUGAGACAAGGCCCCAGGCCCUACGGGGCGCAGCAGGCGCGAAACCUUCACAAUGCACGAAAGUGUGAUGAGGGUACUCCGAGUGCGCAUACAUUGUAUGUGCUUUUCUGCAGCGUAAAUAGUUGCAGGAAUAAGGGCUGGGCAAGACCGGUGCCAGCCGCCGCGGUAACACCGGCAGCCCUAGUGGUGGCCGCUUUUAUUGGGCCUAAAGCGUCCGUAGCCGGACAGGCGAGUCUUUGGGUAAAUCCUACGUCUUAAGCGUGGGAAUUCUAAAGAUACUACCUGUCUUGAGGCCGGGAGAGGCUGGAGGUACUCCUGGGGUAGGGGUAAAAUCCUAUAAUCCUGGGGGGACCACCGAUGGCGAAGGCAUCCAGCUGGAACGGGCCUGACGGUGAGGGACGAAACCCAGGGGAGCGAGCCGGAUUAGAUACCCGGGUAGUCCUGGGCGUAAAUGAUGUGGGCUUGGUGUGAGCGCAUCGACGAGGUGCGCUUGUGCCGUAGGGAAGCCGUUAAGCCCACCGCCUGGGGAGUACGGUCGCAAGGCUGAAACU